rnacentral:lncRNA from 1 species
AUGUUUCCAACAAUGUUCAAACCCAAAGAAAUCCAUUUUAAUUUGACUGACUUUAUAUCAUCAGGAGGAGGAGAGGAGGACUUUAUAUCAUCAGGAGGAGGAGAGGAGGACUUUAUAUCAUCAGGAGGAGGAGAGGAGGACUUUAUAUCCUCAGGAGGAGGAGAGGAGGACUUAUAUCAUCAGGAGGAGGAGAGGAGGACUUUAUAUCAUCAGGAGGAGGAGAGGAGGACUUUAUAUCAUCAGGAGGAGAGGAGGACUUUAUAUCAUCAGGAGGAGGAGAGGAGGACUUUAUAUCAUCAGGAGGAGGAGAGGAGGACUUUAUAUCCUCAGGAGGAGAGGAGGACUUUAUAUCAUCAGGAGGAGGAGAGGAGGACUUUAUAUCAUCAGGAGGAGAGGAGGACUUUAUAUCAUCAGGAGGAGGAGAGGAGGACUUUAUAUCAUCAGGAGGAGGACUUUAUAUCAUCAGGAGGAGAGGAGGACUUUAUAUCAUCAGGAGGAGAGGAGGACUUUAUAUCAUCAGGAGGAGGAGAGGAGGACUUUAUAUCAUCAGGAGGAGGAGAGGAGGACUUUAUAUCAUCAGGAGGAGAGGAGGAUAGGAGGAGGAGGACUUUAUAUCAUCAGGAGGAGAGGAGGACUUUAUAUCAUCAGGAGGAGGAGAGGAGGACUUUAUAUCAUCAGGAGGAGAGGAGGACUUUAUAUCAUCAGGAGGAGGAGAGGAGGACUUUAUAUCAUCAGGAGGAGGAGAGGAGGACUUUAUAUCAUCAGGAGGAGAAGAGGAGGACUUUAUAUCAUCAGGAGGAGGAGAGGAGGACUUUAUAUCAUCAGGAGGAGGAGAGGAGGACUUUAUAUCCUCAGGAGGAGGAGAGGAGGACUUUAUAUCAUCAGGAGGAGAGGAGGACUUUAUAUCCUCAGGAGGAGGAGAGGAGGACUUUAUAUCAUCAGGAGGAGGAGAGGACUUUAUAUCAUCAGGAGGAGAGGAGGACUUUAUAUCAUCAGGAGGAGGAGAGGAGGACUUUAUAUCAUCAGGAGGAGAGGAGGACUGUUUUUACUUUUCAGGGUUGA